rnacentral:rRNA from 1 species
AGAGUUUGAUCCUGGCUCAGAAGGAACGCUGGCAGCGUGCAUAACACAUGCAAGUCGAACGAUGAAACAUUCUUCGGAAUGUGGAAGAGUGGCGAACGGGUGAGGAACACGUAAGAAUCUGCCCCUCGGUCGGGGACAACUCUUGGAAACGAGAGCUAAUACCCGAUACGCUGUGGAGUGAAAGAAUUUCGCCGAGGGAUGAUCUUGCGUCUGAUUAGCUAGUUGGUGUGGUAAUGGCAUACCAAGGCGACGAUCAGUAGCUGGUCUGAGAGGAUGAACAGCCACAUUGGAACUGAGACACGGUCCAAACUCCUACGGGAGGCAGCAGUGGGGAAUUCUCCGCAAUGGACGAAAGUCUGACGGAGCGACGCUGCGUGAAGGAUGACGGCCUGCGGGUUGCAAACUUCUUUUCUCGAAGAAGAAGCUCUGACGGUAUUCGAGGAAUAAGCAUCGGCUAACUCCGUGCCAGCAGCCGCGGUAAUACGGAGGAUGCAAGUGUUAUUCGGAAUGAUUGGGCGUAAAGCGUCUGUAGGCUGUAUAGAAAGUCUUUUGUUAAAUGCCUCGGCUCAACCGAGAUCCAGCAAAGGAAACUUCUAUACU